rnacentral:misc_RNA from 1 species
CAACAGUGGCGCUCAACACACCCGCCACAUAGGCACAUACGCGGGUGCGUCGAAGCAAGAGGGCCGCUCUCUUACCACUAAGGCCUUCCACCACCUGCGCUGCGUCUGUGCGUAGUCGCCACCGUUGUCCUUGCAGCUGAUUAGUCGUUCUUUGUACACAGUUACUCGGGGAACACCGGGCAAGCGGGGUACACAUAUUUGGAACGGUGAACGUCCCCGUAACCGCACGACCGCCACACAGAUACAUACGUGCGUGCGCCGCAAACCAGCGCCAGUCCAAGGUGCGCGUUUACGCAAGUGAGCACAAGGGGAGACGUUGAAGGACUGCGAUCGACAUCCGCUGUGCGUCCUUGGCCAUUAUUGGCUGCAUCUAAACACAGACACACUCUGCGCGCCUUCACCCUCUUUUGCUCUCCCUCCUUGUUCACUCGCGUCUGCGUGCCUGUCGUUCUUUACACCGCUGCGCUCUGACUAAGGCGUGGCCCGAUCUUAUCUCCCCCCGUUGCCCUCCUCCUGAUCUGCUUUGUACACGCACGCGGGCGUCUCUCGGAGACCAACUUGUGGGCGGCACAAAACAGCAGAGCGACAGCGGCUCAGAGUACCCAUCUUCGCCAUUUACCUCACAACCUCCCCCUGCUUUCCCUGCACUCGACUCGGAUUCACCUGCGCGGCAACAGGAGCGGCGGAAAGAGAAGAGGUAAACCUCACAGCAAAGGAAUGGAGCGCGGCCUGCGCUCCUCGCCAGGGGGUCCCGAUGGGGGCCUCUGCGCGCUGCACAGCAAGCGGCGAAGCAAAGCUGAUCUCAUUCCGUGGAAUCAGCAGCCAGGUAAGAUGCGCUGCCUGCUGCAGAAGGAGUGCCACGUGCGUAGCGAGAACCGGCGGGCUGGUGGCAGGGAGCAGGCCAGAGCUAGCGGUGGUGGCGGAGGCGGUGGCGACGUGCGUGAAAGAGACCGUAGAGGAGGAAUGGGGCGAGCCGGCAGCGGCCGCGAACGCGGUGGCCGCAGAGAGCGCGGGGACAGAAACGAUCGCAGAGAACGCGGGGACAAAGUCGACACUGUUAUGUGCCGUCUUCACCGUCAGCGUCGUUCCGCUCGGCAGAUGCGCGAGGUGGGGGCGGGCGUGUUUGAGUGCGCGGAAGGCAGCCGGUGUAAGCAGACCGGCGAUAGGCGUAUUGGCGCCGCCGGUGGCCGCGGCGCUGAUGAUCGGGGUCGAUUCCGUGAUCAGCGAGGCCCGUCGUUUGUAGAGCGUGGAGCAGGUGCUCGGCAGCGGCAGCGACGUGGCGAACGCGCGCCUCGCCCAACGCAGGACCAGCGUUAUGAUGACGCGAAUGCGGCUGCGUGGGCACCAUCGGCAGGCACUGGCGCAGGGGGUGGCGGUCCAGCUCGUCGUCGGGCUGGCAAGGCGGAGCGCAAGGUGUGGUGUGCACUGCAUGGCAAGCACUUGCCCGCGAGCCAGUGCGAAUUCGUGCAAGAUUGCUGCUAUGUCUGUCUUGACCCUAGCACCUGCUUGGCCACGCCGCUGGAGGCCCCGGCAAUGUUGCUCACACGCGGCUGUGCCGAGGUGCUGUGCAGCAAGCAUCACACCCUGCGCAGUGCCGGAUUUGUGGAGUUGACGGAGAAGCCUGUAGCGUACCAGUGCAUGCCCGGCCACGCAUGCCGGGGUGUGACAGUGCCGCACAUGAGCCAAGGGGCGCACGGCGCUGCUGCGGCUUCUGGGGGUGGCCCUGCCGCGAUGCCGUACGCGAUGGCGGACAUGGACGAUGAUGAAGAGGUCUACAUGGGUGCGCGCGUGGCCAACACUUUCCUGCCCCAGAGCGGCCGCGAAGCCAUCUCCUCCUUCUUUAUGUGAGAAGGCCGGGGGAAGAACUUUGGGGUGGCUGCGACGGGCCCCAAAGCGAAGGAUGGAGACGAGUGUGUUCGAGGCUUUGCGGUGGGCAUGCCCCUUGGUGAAUGCGUUCUCGUAAAUGGAGAGGGUAGUGGAAGAGAGGAGCGUCUGGCUGCUGGCUGUGGUCGAGCCGUCUUCUCCCCCUUUGUGGCUGUGAUAUCGUUGGUGAGUGUUCUCUCUCUCUCGCCCGCUCUUGCUCUCUCCCGGGAGCGCCGUGUCGAUGCCACCGCGUAAAACAACCGAAG